UGGGGAAUAUUGCACAAUGGGCGCAAGCCUGAUGCAGCCAUGCCGCGUGUGUGAAGAAGGCCUUCGGGUUGUAAAGCACUUUCAGCGGGGAGGAAGGCGUUAAGGUUAAUAACCUUGGCGAUUGACGUUACCCGCAGAAGAAGCACCGGCUAACGCCGUGCCAGCAGCCGCGGUAAUACGGAGGGUGCAAGCGUUAAUCGGAAUUACUGGGCGUAAAGCGCACGCAGGCGGUCUGUCAAGUCGGAUGUGAAAUCCCCGGGCUCAACCUGGGAACUGCAUUCGAAACUGGCAGGCUAGAGUCUUGUAGAGGGGGGUAGAAUUCCAGGUGUAGCGGUGAAAUGCGUAGAGAUCUGGAGGAAUACCGGUGGCGAAGGCGGCCCCCUGGACAAAGACUGACGCUCAGGUGCGAAAGCGUGGGGAGCAAACAGG
rnacentral:rRNA from 1 species